GGCACGUCAUCCAAGGUAGUACAAAUUUAUCUGUUCUAAAUUGUUUUGCUGUGUGAUAUGUGUGGAUUAGAGGAACGUCCUCUAAUUGAUCGAUGUGCCUGACGCUGGAGAUCCAAAGGGUAUGGUUUUGUCAAGUUCUCUUUGGAAAGCGAAGCAGCCACGGCGUUGGAGAAAAUGAGUGGUGAGGUAUAUAAAAACGUGCUUCGUUUAUCCGUUGGUACAGCAGAACAAACCAAGCUCUCGCGGGAUAAUAUGCCGUUCUUUUCCUUCCGCUGACAUGCUUCUGCCAAAUGAUGAUUGUUUCAGGUGCUUGAUGGAAGGAAUAUAUGGGUGCAUUAUGCCUGAUUCUGCUGCUUCUCCUGCUGCUAUAGAUGUGUAAGGCACUUAUUCGGAAUAUGUAAUGUUAGAUGUACGCAUGGAGCCUUGAACAUGUACUAUGUAUACCUGCAGAGAGAUUUAUGGUAACAACAGAGUAAUUUAUUUGGAAGCAAUUGUUACUGAGGUAGAGUCUUUCUGGGUAGUUUGCCGCAAGUAUUAAACUUAUGAUUUUAGUUUGAGAUACAACCAGAAAUCUGAAACCAAUACUUCUUCUCAGGCAAUCUAGAUGUGUUAUAAAAUUUAUUUUGGAAAGCUUGUACAGAAGGUUAACAAUAUGCCUUCUACUUUUGGAUAUUGUGGUGUUAAAUGACCACUUCAUAAAUC
rnacentral:lncRNA from 1 species